GGAAGCAACCUCUGUCAUCACCUACUUCAACGUCCUUGUACAGCUACACUCAGGCCAACACUCGGGGCUACCUUUGCUUAGUACCAUUAUCACCUGAGUAGGUAUCAUGAAUGAAAUCGAGACCCAGAGAAGGAUUCCCAGGUGACCACACACAGAACAUCGGAGAAGCACUGGUCUACAGAACACCCCACUUCACAGACGUGGAAACUAAGGUCCAGAAUAGAUGAUGACCAUGACCUAGACAUCUUCCUUUGUGAAACAUUUUGCUGAUCCCUUUUCUACAGUAUCAGGGAGGGAACCAGAAUUCUUCUAAUUUGUUGCUCUGCUGUCCUCAACAUUUGCUACUGCCUCGUGUUCUGAGAUGGUUACUGAAACUCCAGCCACUGUGCCUGCGUUCCAGUCAGCGUAAAAGAGAACAAAGAGUUCACUUCCUCACUUAAAGAAAACUUCUGCUUACCGUGGCUGACAAAGACAACUGACCCUGUUUCCUUGUUCCAGUAACGGCAGCCAGGCCAGCCCACAGUGAGCCCCCUAGGGAAUCAGUCAAAUGUCUGAGCUGUUGCAGGAAGCUUGCCUGCAGACAGCGCACAGGCCGCAGGCCAUCAAGCAGGGCCCUGGUCUUUCUAUCUUUUCUGAAGAAGGAAGUGAGGCUGGGAACAGCCCCAACAAUGCUUCCAGCAUUCCUGAUUCUAUCUCCAGUUUUGAAAGGACUUCUUGUUUGACUUAAAAGUGGAGGUAAAAGGUGAUGGUUUAUAGGAAUGAUCUGCAAUUGACAGGCGAUGAGCUCCCUUCUCCACUUGGCUAAGUCUGUUUCUAGCAUCUCUAUAGUAGUGUCAGGCUUAAAAUUAAUAUUAUGUGCUACCUUGCCAUCGAAAGCUGGGAGGGCCUCAAAUGGCCUAACUGCAUCUUCCUACCCACUCUGCUCGCUCCGAUAAGGUCCCCUAGCCAAACAACCCUCAUUAUCAGGGGGCCGAGGCCCAGUGCCUACUUAUCCCUACCAGGCUCCAGUUCCCUGCCAGCUACAAAAUUAGGCAAACAAAACAAGCACAUCCGCCUGUAGAAACCAGGAAUCCUUCCCACCUCUUGUUACCAUAAAGCCUAACCCCGUAGCCCCUGAUUGGUCACUCUGUGCCCAAGUAAACUCCUGCCCAGCUGUGGUUGCACAGCAUCUUCUUUCCCUAGACAAUAGGCUGCCAUCAGUCUCUUCUGUCCAGCGGUGAGUGUCAUGUUUGGCCAUCCCCGUAACCCUAGACUAGAAUCUCUCCCUCACUAACAAGCUGAAAAGGAAGCAAUCAAAAUACUACAAUUUUCCAUUUUUUCUUCUUUAGAACAAUCAUUAUGCAACUGCAACAGAUAACUCUCAUGUCUUUUAUUUCCAGCUAGUUUUUCUGGUCAGGAGGUUGGAAGUGGGAAGAAAAUGCGUACAAAAUGUGUUUCAUGAUCUCUUUCUAGUUGAAAGUUGAGAGAUUUCUGCUCUGAUGGGAAAGGGAGGUGAGAGGGUGGCUUCACGAAGGAUUGAAAACCUCCGCCCAAAGGGUGCCUGAAGAUCAUUCACCUAGAAAGUUCACAAACUGAAUAAUGAUCACCAAAAAAAGUUUUAUCUCAUGAUAAAGAAUUACACUGCAGCAACCAAUCCUUCUAAACAGCCUCAUACAGAAAUGAUGAAGAAUUGCCUCAUCAUGAAUAUUAUCAUGUCGUGACAUCACAGCCAUGAUGCCAAUGUGAUUUUUCUGAUUCUUUGGGACAUAUUUGGCCACAAUGACCUCACUGAACAUCCUACCAAGGCCAAACAGUAUAGCAAAUCAUCCUUCAGCUAUUACCUCUAUGUGCUGUCGUUGUUGUUGUUGUUGUUGUUUUUACAUGGGCAAUCAAUUGGGUUGGAAUGUUUAUGUUGUUUGGAUGUUUCUGGUGUCAAUAAUCCUUGAUACAUAUUUCUUUUGAGUUCUUUUAGAAAUUUCUUUUGUGGCCUUGGGAUAUUGCAAUCUAUGCUUCCAAAGCGCAUUCAUAUUUAUUUAAUUUACUCUUACAUCAUAGUUGAGUCUGGACUGAUCAUUUAUUCAUCCCAAAUGAAUGAAGUGAUGAAACCUAGAGAAGUCAAGUCCCAAGGUUACCUCAUCAGAUAUAUAGAUUUUUUACUCAAAAAGGCUUUCUGAGUCUUAAAUCCAAUGUUCUUUCUACUACUCAGAUUCUUUUAAAGUUUACUUCUUUAUAUUUCAGUUCUUCAUAAGUUAAUUAAACUAGAAAAUAUCUGAGAAAAAUAGAAUGUCAGUGCUUAAAGUGACUUUAGAGAUUAUCUCAACACAUCCAAACUAAGGAAGACAUCAGGUUCUUGGGAUAGUG